GAUGAACGCUGGCGGCGUGCCUAAUACAUGCGAGUCGAGCGAACGGACGAGAAGCUUGCUUCUCUGAUGUUAGCGGCGGACGGGUGAGUAACACGUGGAUAACCUACCUAUAAGACUGGGAUAACUUCGGGAAACCGUAGCUAAUACCGGAUAAUAUUUUGAACCGCAUGGUUCAAAAGUGAAAGACGGUCUUGCUGUCACUUAUAGAUGGAUCCGCGCUGCAUUAGCUAGUUGGUAAGGUAACGGCUUACCAAGGCAACGAUGCAUAGCCGACCUGAGAGGGUGAUCGGCCACACUGGAACUGAGACACGGUCCAGACUCCUACGGGAGGCAGCAGUAGGGAAUCUUCCGCAAUGGGCGAAAGCCUGACGGAGCAACGCCGCGUGAGUGAUGAAGGUCUUCGGAUCGUAAAACUCUGUUAUUAUGGAAGAACAUAUGUGUAAGUAACUGUGCACAUCUUGACGGUACCUAAUCAGAAAGCCACGGCUAACUACGUG
rnacentral:rRNA from 1 species